rnacentral:pre_miRNA from 1 species
GUAAGCAGUGCUUGAGCUUAUUCUCUGGCUUCAUUUGACCAUUUUCUGAUAAGCUCAAUUAACUGUUUGCAG